UUCAAUGGUGAUGCUGGCAGGGCAACCGAAAGGUUGGCUGGAAUCCGUUAACUCCAGUAGUCUCAACCCUGUCAGCGUCACCACCCCU
rfam:Providencia rettgeri Dmel1 chromosome, whole genome shotgun sequence.